rnacentral:misc_RNA from 1 species
CAAAAUUAAACAGAUAAAAUCCAAAAUCAAACUGAACAAAUCAAUACACAAUCCUAUUAUAUUUCAUUACGAAUACUAAACAUCCAACUUAAACCAAAUUCUAGACAUUUAAUUUAAACGAAAAAUAAAUAAAAGAUAAGAUAUGGAUAAGUACCUAUUCGAAUCCUUUAUUUAGAGAAUCCGACACGAGUACGAGUUCAAACCAACUUAAACUAAAUCAUAAGACAUUGAUUUUUUUACCUAACUAGACCCAAAUUAAGAAUGCCCCAAGAAUUUUGUGGCCAAGUUUUCUCUUUUGCCUUCAUCAACAAAACCCUUGUCCAAGCAACCCAACCUUCCCAAGACAUUCUUUUGUCCCAUGGACUCCCCCAUUCCAAGAUCAAUCUUAGCCCCUUCUCAGCCUCUUUUUCAGCCUCUUCAAACUCCCCUUUGCUCAAAUAAAUUUGCCCCAACACCACAUGAGGCUCACCUACAAAAGGGUUCUUGUCAAUACUCAUCACUAACUUCUCUUUAGCCCAAUCUAAACCUCUCUUAGACCCUUGACAAACACCUUCCCAAUACAAUUCUCUUGCCAUUUUUUGCUCUUCUGCAUCCAAAACUCUUGUGCAAUUGUCGAAAACCGGUGGAAUAACAAGCUCAAUCUCUUCGUCCCUCCCGGAUACAACAACCCUUUCGCCAUUACGCCUUCUUUGUUCAAUAAUUAUCUCUUCUUCUCUUAAUAUGAGAGUAUAAAUUGCACCCAUUCUUGACGCUGAAUUCAUCCAUAGCCCGGGCUUUCCAUCACCGGGCCAUAGAGUUGUUUGCGAAUUGUUUCCAGUGAAUUCCAAUCUCCCGUUAGAAUUCUCAAACAACAAAUCCUGAAAAUUAAACAACUGAUCACUGAAAUCCGCCAUUGUCAUUAGUAGAAACACAGCUACUAAUCUCCUCGAAACCAAAACAUCUUCACCCGUCUUAAUAUGCUUCACAAUUACACCAUCAACAGGCAAAAUCGACCCCAGUUUCUUCCUCCACGCUUCGUUUUCAUUAAACAAACCCUUCUCCUUCGCAUUACUCAACGACGCCAUUGAAAGCUCGAGAUGCUCAACAAGCUCUGAAUCAGCAUACCGAAACAACAAAUCGUCGUGAAUUAACGACUGACGAGGCACAAUACAGAACAGAUGAAUCAAUCUCUCAGCCGCUUCACCGACGUGACGACGUACAGUUUCCCGUCCGGUGGACGGAUCGAAUAUAGCUAGAUUCACAUAUGAAUUUGAAUAAGCUGAAUGGAAAAGACCACAAAGACAAACGGAAUUUGGGGCUUCCCAGAUUUUGAGAAUUUUGUAAAUAUCGAUUAAGUGAUCGAGAAAACUGCCGUGUUUAUGCCAACAUUCGCCGGCGCCGACGGAACGUAAAACGGCGAUAAGGCUAGGGAGAUCUUUGUCGAUUGAUUCGAAUUCUCCGCGUAAAAAAGGACGGCAUGAUUCUAAAAGGGAAUGGAGAUUAGUAGGAGAAAGAGAACUCAGUGAUGAUGGCAUUUUUUAUUUUUUUUUGCUUGGUUGAG